rnacentral:rRNA from 1 species
AUACAGAGGGUGCAAGCGUUAUUCGGAAUUACUGGGCGUAAGGCGCGCGUAGGCGGAUGAUUAAGUCAGUUGUGAAAGCCCUGGGCUCAACCUAGGAACUGCAUCUGAUACUGGUCGUCUAGAGUUUAAGAGAGGGAAGUGGAAUUCCAGGUGUAGCAGUGAAAUGCGUAGAUAUCUGGAGGAACAUCAGUGGCGAAGGCGACUUCCUGGCUUAAAACUGACGCUGAGGUGCGAAAGCGUGGGUAGCGAACGGGAUUAGAAACCCUAGUAGUCC